UCGUUUAUUUGAUAGUACCUUACUACUUGGACAACCGUGGUAAUUCUAGAGCUAAUACAUGCUAAAAACCCCGACUCCGGGAGGGGUGUAUUUAUUAGAUAAAAAACCAAUGCCCUCCGGGGCUCUUUGGUGAUUCAUGAUAACUUAACGGAUCGCAUGGCCUUGCGCCGGCGACGGUUCAUUCAAAUUUCUGCCCUAUCAACUUUCGAUGGUAAGGUAUUGGCUUACCAUGGUCUCAACGGGUAACGGGAGAUUAGGGUUUGACUCCGGAGAGGGAGCCUGAGAAACGGCUACCACAUCCAAGGAAGGCAGCAGGCGCGCAAAUUACCCAAUCCCGACGCGGGGAGGUAGUGACAAUAAAUACUGAUACAGGGCUCUUUUGGGUCUUGUAAUUGGAAUGAGUACAAUUUAAACCCCUUAACGAGGAACAAUUGGAGGGCAAGUCUGGUGCCAGCAGCCGCGGUAAUUCCAGCUCCAAUAGCGUAUAUUAAAGUUGUUGCAGUUAAAAAGCUCGUAGUUGAAACUUGGGCCUGGCUGGCCGGUCCGCCUCACCGCGUGCACUGGCCCGGCCGGGCCUUUCCUCCUGGAGAGCCGCAUGCCCUUCACUGGGUGUGCCGGGGAACCAGGACUUUUACUUUGAAAAAAUUAGAGUGUUCAAAGCAGGCCUUUGCUCGAAUACGUUAGCAUGGAAUAAUAGAAUAGGACGUGCGGUUCUAUUUUGUUGGUUUCUAGGACCGCCGUAAUGAUUAAUAGGGAUAGUCGGGGGCAUCCGUAUUCAAUUGUCAGAGGUGAAAUUCUUGGAUUUAUUGAAGACGAACUACUGCGAAAGCAUUUGCCAAGGAUGUUUUCAUUAAUCAGUGAACGAAAGUUAGGGGAUCGAAGACGAUCAGAUACCGUCGUAGUCUUAACCGUAAACUAUGCCGACUAGGGAUCGGGCGAUGUUACUAU
rnacentral:rRNA from 1 species